rnacentral:rRNA from 1 species
AUUGAACGCUGGCGGCAUGCCUUACACAUGCAAGUCGAACGGCAGCGGACCUUCGGGUGCCGGCGAGUGGCGAACGGGUGAGUAAUGCAUCGGAACGUGCCAUUGAGUGGGGGAUAACGUAGCGAAAGUUACGCUAAUACCGCAUAUUCUGUGAGCAGGAAAGCAGGGGGACCGCAAGGCCUUGCGCUCUUUGAGCGGCCGAUGUCAGAUUAGCUAGUUGGUGAGGUAAAGGCUUACCAAGGCGACGAUCUGUAGCGGGUCUGAGAGGAUGAUCCGCCACACUGGAACUGAGACACGGUCCAGACUCCUACGGGAGGCAGCAGGUGGGGAAUUUUGGACAAGUGGGCGCAAGCCUGAUCCAGCCAUGCCGCGUGAGUGAAG